GAGUAACCUGCCCCCCGACUCUGGGAUAAGCCCGGGACACUGGGUCUAAUACCGGAUAUGACCUCGCACCGCAUGGUGCGGGGUGGAAAGAUUUAUCGGUGGGGGAUGGACUCGCGGCCUAUCAGCUUGUUGGUGAGGUAAUGGCUCACCAAGGCGACGACGGGUAGCCGGCCUGAGAGGGUGACCGGCCACACUGGGACUGAGACACGGCCCAGACUCCUACGGGAGGCAGCAGUGGGGAAUAUUGCACAAUGGGCGCAAGCCUGAUGCAGCGACGCCGCGUGAGGGAUGACGGCCUUCGGGUUGUAAACCUCUUUCAGUAGGGAAGAAGCGAAAGUGACGGUACCUGCAAAAGAAGCGCCGGCUAACUACGUGCCAGCAGCCGCGGUAAUACGUAGGGCGCAAGCGUUAUCCGGAUUUAUUGGGCGUAAAGAGCUCGUAGGCGGUUUGUCGCGUCUGCCGGGAAAGUCCGAGGCUCAACCUCGGAUCUGCGGUGGGUACGGGCAGACUAGAGUGAUGUAGGGGAGACUGGAAUUCCUGGUGUAGCGGUGAAAUGCGCAAAUAUCAGGAGGAACCCCGAUGCCGAAGGCAGGUCUCUGGGCAUUUACUGACGCUGAGGAGCG
rnacentral:rRNA from 1 species